UAGUCCACGCCGUAAACGAUGGAUACUAGGUGUGGGAGGUAUUGACCCCUUCCGUGCCGGAGUUAACACAAUAAGUAUCCCACCUGGGGAGUACGGCCGCAAGGCUGAAACUCAAAGGAAUUGACGGGGGCCCGCACAAGCAGUGGAGUAUGUGGUUUAAUUCGAAGCAACGCGAAGAACCUUACCAGGUCUUGACAUCCCUCUGACCGUCCUAGAGAUAGGACUUUCCUUCGGGACAGAGGUGAC
rnacentral:rRNA from 1 species